AAAGAAAGACCUUUAAGCCAACCAUGAAUCUCGUGGAGGCCUUUUUGCAGGAACAUCAUUAUUUUUGUUCUAUCCCAUUUUCCUGGUUACUACUACCAGAUUAGAUAUUGGUAGAAGACUUCAAAGUCAAGCCAUCAAUGACGACAAAGAUUUAAUCUCAUCAAAGCUAAGUGGUGUCUGUUAGUACGAAAAUUGUAUUGGCAUUUUCUAGACUGUAAUAUAGGUUGAAAAUUAGUUUGUGAGGAAUUGCUACUGGAUGUUUU
rnacentral:lncRNA from 1 species